GAAAUGCGAUAAGUAAUGUGAAUUGCAGAAUUCAGUGAAUCAUCGAAUCUUUGAACGCACCUUGCACUCCUUGGUAUUCCGAGGAGCAUGCCUGUUUGAGUGUCAUUAAAUUCUCAACCUCACCAGUUUUGUUAUGAGACUGUGUAAGGCUUGGAUGUGGGGGUUUGUGCAGGCUGCCUUUUGGCGGUCUGCUCCCCUGAAAUGCAUUAGCGAGUUCACUAAGCUCCGUCUAUUGGUGUGAUAAUUAUCUACGCCGUGGAAUGGGUUUAGACUUGCUUCUAACCGUCCGCAAGGACAACUUUUGACAAUUUGACCUCAAAUCAGGUAGGACUACCCGCUGAACUUAA
rnacentral:misc_RNA from 1 species